GUGAAAUCACAAGCAGUGGUGAACUCCCACAGACAGAUCACUCCGUCUCAACUUUGUGAGAUAAACCACUGACCAGAGGUGUGAUGCCAGGACCCUGGAAGUCACCUGCCGGGAAACUCGCAUCCACUGCAGCUGAACCAAUGGUGUGCACACCAUGUGGCAGAACUCCUGGUCAUCUCAGACUACAACUGCACAGAGGUUGUUCUAAUUGUAGCCAACAGCAAAAAAGAAACUAUAAGACACUUGGAUUCUUCCAGGGGAACACAAGCCACCUUCAAGUCUUGUGGUCAAGGGUAGUAUACAUGUUAUCUUCAAAGUGAAGAAGACUCUGAUACAAAGUAAUAAAUGAAUAGAGGGUCAAAAAAAUAACUUUUGCAAUAGACCAGAAGAACUUUGGAUUUCCAAGAAAAGAAGGAAUACAUAAUCAGAG
rnacentral:lncRNA from 1 species